rnacentral:rRNA from 1 species
AUUGAACGCUGGCGGCAUGCUUUACACAUGCAAGUCGAACGGGGUGAAGGGGCAACUCUUCAUUCAGUGGCGAACGGGUGAGUAAUACAUCGGAACGUACCCCGUAGUGGGGGAUAACUCGGCGAAAGCCGUGCUAAUACCGCAUAUGCUCUACGGAGGAAAGCAGGGGACCGCAAGGCCUUGUGCUAUGGGAGCGGCCGAUGUCCGAUUAGCUAGUUGGUGAGGUAAUGGCUCACCAAGGCGACGAUCGGUAGCUGGUCUGAGAGGAUGAUCAGCCACACUGGGACUGAGACACGGCCCAGACUCCUACGGGAGGCAGCAGUGGGGAAUUUUGGACAAUGGGGGCAACCCUGAUCCAGCCAUGCCGCGUGCGGGAAGAAGGCCUGGUG